rnacentral:tRNA from 1 species
GGGAGUGUAGCUCAGUGGUAGAGCACUUGCCUGUUAUAUGCAAGGCCCUGGGUUCAAUCUCCAGCAUCA